UGGACUUAGCUUGCUAAGGCCGAUGGCGACCGGCGCACGGGUGAGUAACACGUAUCCAACCUGCCGUCUACUCUUGGACAGCCUUCUGAAAGGAAGAUUAAUACAAGAUGGCAUCAUGAGUCCGCAUGUUCACAUGAUUAAAGGUAUUCCGGUAGACGAUGGGGAUGCGUUCCAUUAGUUUGUUGGCGGGGUAACGGCCCACCAAGACUACGAUGGAUAGGGGUUCUGAGAGGAAGGUCCCCCACAUUGGAACUGAGACACGGUCCAAACUCCUACGGGAGGCAGCAGUGAGGAAUAUUGGUCAAUGGACGCGAGUCUGAACCAGCCAAGUAGCGUGAAGGAUGACUGCCCUAUGGGUUGUAAACUUCUUUUAUAUGGGAAUAAAGUGGUCCACGUGUGGAUUUUUGUAUGUACCAUAUGAAUAAGGAUCGGCUAACUCCGUGCCAGCAGCCGCGGUAAUACGGAGGAUCCGAGCGUUAUCCGGAUUUAUUGGGUUUAAAGGGAGCGUAGGCGGAUUGUUAAGUCAGUUGUGAAAGUUUGCGGCUCAACCGUAAAAUUGCAGUUGAUACUGGCAGUCUUGAGUGCAGUAGAGGUGGGCGGAAUUCGUGGUGUAGCGGUGAAAUGCUUAGAUAUCACGAAGAACUCCGAUUGCGAAGGCAGCUCACUGGAGUGUAACUGACGCUGAUGCUCGAAAGUGUGGGUA
rnacentral:rRNA from 1 species